rnacentral:tRNA from 1 species
UAUUUUGAUAGGAUAGAUUAUGUAUAAAUAAUACUCUUAUUAAAAUUA